CAGUUGUUGGUUCUGGUCCCGGUGUUGUGGGUUCUGGUGUCAGUUCUGGGCCAAUUGUUGGUUCUGGUCACAGUGUUGUGGGUUCUGGUGUCGGUCCUGGUCCAACUGUUGGUUCUGGUCCUGGUGUUGGUUCAGGUGUUGGUCCUGGUUCUGGUGUUGGUUCAAUUGUUGGUCCUGGUCCAAUUGUUGGUUCUGGUCCCAGUGUUGGUUCAGGUGCUGGUCCUGGUUCUGGUGUCAGUUCUGGUCCCAGGGUUGGUCCGGGUGUUUUUCCUGGUCCUGGUGUUGGUCCUGGUUCUGGUGUUGGUCCAGGUGUUUUUCCUGGUCCCGGUGUCAGUCCUGGUUCUGGUGUUGGUCCAGGUUUUGGUCCUGGUCCUGGUGUCAGUUCCGGUCCCAGUAUUGGUCCAGGUGUUGGUCCUGGUGUCAGUCCCGGUUCCGGUGUCGGUUCUGGUUCUGGUGUUGAUGACAGUCCCAGUGUCAGCCCCUGGUCCCGUUGUUGGACCGGUGUCGGUUCUGGUCCCAGUGUUGUUCUGGUCCUGAUGCCGGUUCUGGUUCUGGUGUCGGUUCUGGUCCCGGUGUUGUUCCGGUCCUGGUGUACCUUAUGGUCCUGGUGUUGGUCCCGGUGUCGGUUCUGGUUCUGGUGUCAGUUCUGGUCCUGGUGUUGUUCCCAGUCCUGGUGUCGGUUCUGGUUCUGGUGUCAGUUCUGGUCCUGGUGUUGUUCCUGGUCCCGGUGUUGGUUCUGGUUCUGGUGUCGGUUCUGGUCCCGGUGUUGGUUCUGGUUCUGGUGUCGAUUCUGGUCCCGGUGUCAGACCCAGUAUUGCUGUCAGUCCCACUGUUGGUUCCGGUUCUGGUGGUACUGCUGGUUCCGGUGUCGCUCCCGGUCCAAAUUUUAAUCCAGUCCAGGCUUUAUUCCCAGCCCAGCUCUUGCUCUCAACUCCAGUCCAGGUUUUACCGGUUCCAGUCCAGGUGUUGCUCCCAACUCCAGUCCGGGUUUUAUUCCCACUCCGGGUUUUGCUUCCACUCCACCUGUUGCUCCCAACUCCAGUCCAGGUCUCACCGCCAGCUCCAGUCCGGGUUUUAUUCCCAGUCCAGUCCAGCUCCCAACUUCAAUCCGGGUUUUACCAUCAGCUGCAGUCCGGGUUUUAUUCCCAGUCCAGAUCCCAAAUCCAAUCCGGGUUUUACCUUCAGCUCCAGUCCGGGUUUUAUUCCCAGUCCAGCUCCCAACUCCAGUCCGGGUUUUACCGUCAGCUCCACUCCGGGUUUUAUUCCCACCCCACCUGUUGCUCCCAACUCCAGUCCGGGUUCCAGCUCCGGAUCGGCUGCUAUUGGUCCCGGUUCCGCCGUUCCAGCCCCGGUUCGGUCGUUCCCGGUCCCGGCCCGGCUGCUAUUGGUUCCGGUUCUGCCGUUCCCGGUCCCGGUUCUGCCGUUCCAGCCCCGGUUCUGCCGGUCCCGGUCCCGGUUCGGCUGUUGCUGGCUCCGGUUCCGCCGUUCCCGGUCCGGUUCUGCCGUUGCCGGUCCCGGUCCGGCUGUUGUCAGCCCCGGUCCGGCUACUCUUGGUCCCGGUUCCGCCCUUCCAGCCCCGGUUCGGCCGUUCCCGGUCCCGGUUCGGCUGUUAUUGAUCCCGGUUCGGCUGCUAUUGGUCCCGGUCCCGCCGUUCCCGGUCCGGUUCUACCGUUGCCGGUCCCGGUUCCGCCGUUCCCAGCCCCGGUUCUGCCGUUCCAGCCCCGGUUCUGCCGGUCCCGGUCCCGGUUCUGCUGUUGCCGGUCCCGGUUCUGCCGUUCCUGGUCCCGGUUCUGCCGUUCCAGCCCCGGUUCGGCCGUUCCCGGUCCCGGUUCGGCUGCUAUUGGUCCCGGUCCGGCCGUUGUCAGCCUCGGUCCGGCUGCUAUCGGUCCCGGUUCUGCCGCUCUUGGUCCCGGUUCGGCCGUUUCCGGUCCGGUUCGGCUGCUGUUGGUCCCGGUUCGGCCGUUUCCGGUCCG
ensembl:lncRNA